rnacentral:rRNA from 1 species
GAAUCUUGGACAAUGGGGGCAACCCUGAUCCAGCCAUGCCGCGUGGACGAUGAAGGCCUUAGGGUUGUAAAGUCCUUUCGCCGGGGAAGAUAAUGACGGUACCCGGUAAAGAAGCCCCGGCUAACUCCGUGCCAGCAGCCGCGGUAAUACGGAGGGGGCUAGCGUUGUUCGGAAUUACUGGGCGUAAAGCGCACGUAGGCGGAUCAGUCAGUCAGGGGUGAAAUCCCGGGGCUCAACCCCGGAGCUGCCUUUGAUACUGCUGGUCUGGAGGUCGAGAGAGGUGAGUGGAAUUCCGAGUGUAGAGGUGAAAUUCGUAGAUAUUCGGAGGAACACCAGUGGCGAAGGCGGCUCACUGGCUCGAUGCUGACGCUGAGGUGCGAAAGCGUGGGGAGUAAACAGG